rnacentral:tRNA from 1 species
GCCGGGGUGGCCGAGAAUCUAGGCGACGGCUCGCAGAGCCGUUUACGUUGGUGUAAAUCCAGCCCCCGGCUCCA